rfam:Triticum aestivum genome assembly, contig: Triticum_aestivum_CS42_TGACv1_scaffold_194228_3AL
AUAUUACUCCUUCCGUCUGAAAAUACUUGUCGAAGAAAUGGAUAAAAAUUGAUGUAUCUAGAACUAAAAUAUAUCUAGAUACAUCCAUUGCUCCGACAAGUAUUUUCGGAUGAAGGGGGUACAUU